CAUGUAUAGCUUGGAGGAAAGACGAGACAGAGGGGAUAUGAUAGAAACAUUUAAAUACAUGAAGGGAAUCAACACAGUAAAGGAGGAGACUAUAUUUAAAAGAAGAAAAACUACCACAACAAGAGGACAUAGUCUUAAAUUAGAGGGACAAAGGUUUAAAAAUAAUAUCAGGAAGUAUUACUUUACUGAGAGUGUAGUGGAUGCAUGGAAUAGCCUUCCAGCUGAAGUGGUAGAG